rnacentral:tRNA from 1 species
GCCUGGGUAACUCAAUCGGCAGAGCAUCAGACUUUUCAUUUGAGAGCCCAGGAUUCAAGUCCCUGUCCAGGCG